CCUCUCUUUGCCAAACUACAAGGAAGUGGCCAGCAUCUAAGGAAGGGAACUUGAAAGUCAUGAGGAAUCGACAACAAAAAACAACUCGAGGUUCAUUUCGUGCAGAAAUAAUGAAAGAGGCUGUACAGCUUGUUGAAAAUGGCAUGAGCCUGCGGAAGGCAGCAGAGCAAAAAGGUCUCUCAUUCCAAACACUGGCCAGGUAUGUAAAGAAAAAAAAAAACCUAGCAUCCUGGACAGGUGGUUCGAAUGUGCCCUAACUAUGCUUGUCGGCAAGUUUUCACAAAAGAUCAAGAAGCCUCAUUAGCUGAGUAUAUCAUAACUGCCUCGAAGAUAUACAGCGCUCAGCGUAAAUGAGUA